CAGCAUGUGACGCAUAGUACAGGCCCAGGCACGGCACAAACUACAGUACGGAUCCACUACCGUGUUUCCCAAACGGCGUAGGUUCGUCGGAGAAGGUAGCACGUCGAGGGUUGACGCAAGAAGAAAUUUCAAAUCCUUACCAGUACCACCGUACAAAAGGGAUUUCCACUAGAGGUCCUGCCACAUCACCGAUGUCCACUCCAACCACUUGCCUUGCACCUGGAGAGUCUUCAGCCUCAAAAUCUGAGUGACUGAGACACUGCCGCGCAAUGCUCUGGCUACAUACCUUGAGGAGAGAAUCAACGCUUACAUUACAACUGCUGACACUAACCGUGAAGCUGGCCACGUUCACAUCCGUGUGCUCUCCAGCAGCAAGCAGACAGUGAAGGUCAAGGAUGCCACCAAAGAAAAGUUUGAGGAGCUAAGUGGUACAUCUUUCCCGGAGGAGUUUCCUUAUGUAGCAAAGUCUGUCUUUGCUUUUGUGGAAAUUGAUGGCAAGGACGUGUGCUUC